GUCAACUGGCAUGUAUAGAUCAGACUUUUGACUUUGAAAUUUUCAAAAUGGCUGCCGUUGCCAUGGAAACAGCAGAAAUGUGAAACUUUUGACAAUGCUCUUAUAUUACUGAAAAUUUACAGAAAGAUAUAUCGCAAUUCAUAGAUCUGCAUUCACUGUUAAGUUGUUUUCAAAUGGCAACCGCUUAGUGACAAUGGGGGGAAGGGUGACAUCCGCUAUUGCUUGCAAUGGCAAUUCUAGUUAUGGCACCCUCAACGGAGUUGGGGUGACGUAUUGUUAUUGUACGUUUCUUUUUUUUUUCUUAUUUUUAUGUCACCCGAUCGACAAUGUCGGGUGACAUAUUGCUUUUCCUCUGUUUCUUUUUCUCUAUUAUUAUUAUUAUUAUUUUUCUUCCACCUAAUUUUGUCCGCUCGCUUUCUCAGAGCCAAAGGAACCAAUCUGAAUGAUGUGCACUAUAACAAGGAACCCUGACUUUCCUGUUGCUUUUCAAUAUUGGCACUAAAAAAAUGGCUGCCAUCACCAUGGAAACGGAAAAAUGGUGAAAAAAUAUAAUUUUGGAGAAAGGUGAAUUGUUUGAGAAUGCUUAACCUUAAAAUCUUUAGAUUUUAAUACAAUGUAGGUGCCCACUAUAUACUGCUUUGGGAUGAUUUUGGCAAUCAUUGGAACUGCUAUGUUGUCAUGGAUACUACACCAAAAAUUUCCAAAAUAUGGAAAUGCUCCAAAUUUUAUAAAACUUCACAAUAACGAUGAGCAACAUUGGUAGAGGUGGAAUUUGGCGUUGGAAUUUCGAAAAUGUCUGCCGUUACCAUGGAAACAAUGCAAAACAGGUCAAAAUGGUCCAAAAACCUUAAAGUGGCAUUUACUUUC
rnacentral:lncRNA from 1 species